AAAUCUACGUUAUAAUAGGGCAGUUGCAUCACUCCUGAUACGACACGUCAGCAAUAUGUGGAUCCCACUUUUAAAAAGUGUGAAAAAGUGUCAAGUCUGUGACUCAGACCCGGGUUAUUGAUACCUAAAAAACAACAUUUAUACCACUGAGCUAAAGGAUUCUUUGUACAUUGAUGGCUAAAACAAAUAUAUAUUUAUGAAGGUCGGAAACCUUUGCUUCUUCGGUUUUCUCUGUGGGACCCACACUUAUUUAUUUUAUCUAAUGAUUUAAUAAAUACUUUAUAACUCACGUUUUGAAAUGAGAUUCGUUAUAAAAAAAGCCCAAUAAACUUCUUUGGUCUGUAAUCGUUCUCUUCAGUGGAAGUUUAGGGCUUUCAAUUUUUAAUCAUCGGUUCAUGACUCAUCUAAGAAACACAGAUUGGCUCUUUGAGUUUCAUGAAUCAGUUUUUGUUCUUUGGUCUCUACAUCUCCCCAUCUUUAAUAAAUUCAUAAUCGGUUAUUUUAUUUUGCCUGAUAAAUCAUGAUUGUGUGGUUUUAAUUUUCUUUGGUCAUCCUUAUCUUGCACCCUUUAAUCUAACCAAGAAGAAGAAGAAGACAUUUGUCGUUCAAGAUGCUAUCGAGGACUCAGCUGAGUCACACGGGAGACAUACUAUCUGUUGCCUGAUUGUUCAAGAAGAGUUUAUGUGUUGUGAAACAUAUUUGUUUCUUUUCAUCAGUUGCUUUGUUUAAUCUUUUUUUUCUGCAAAUAAUGAUGGCUUUGACAGUUCAUUCACGGGAGCCAAAAAGUAAUAGAAGAAGAAGCCAGUGAGUGUUUGACAUUUUCUGUCUUCCUGAAUUUUUUUUCCAUUCAUUAAACUUGGAUUUUGAAGAUUAUGUGCCUCACAUUCUUUUUAUUUUGAUGGUUGUUAGGUUGAAUGAAGAUCAUUGAAUAAAGAAAAUGUCGAUGCUCCUGAAGAUUUGGAGGAGCAUCCUAAUGAUGAGGAAGAGGUGGAGGGAAUUGAUCUGCACCAGCAACGUUACCCGUGGGAGGGAAGUGACAUGGAUUACUUAUACGACGAGGUAAGCAUAUCAUUAGAUGGUUUGCGGUCCAUCUUUGAGAGCCGUCGAUUAUAAGUGUCUAUCGUUUUGAAGUUGUACGACACUAAGAUGUAAAGAAUUACUAAUCACGAUUACCUUACUAGCAGAGGGUUUUUGCACAUCUAUUGUCAAUGGAAUUAACACUGGAAAUUAAUGGUGCUAUAUUUCAUGUUCCAAAUGCUAACGCAAGCUCCAAUGUUAAUUCUCAGCUUUAACAUGUCAAAAUCACAAUGCAGUGGAUGUCUUAAGGUAAUUCAGUAGGUACAAAUGUUCCGUUAAAAAAAAUCUAAAUUGUAUUUAUGCAUCAAACUUAUCAUCCGUAACAUAAUAAUAUGUUUUUUCUGUGCUAGCAACCGUUUGUAAAUAAAUGUCUCGGAUGUAUAUGACUGCUUAGUUUGUUGCUUUUGACAGUGAAAUCACUAAGCUUGCAAUGUGUCAGGACAACAAAAGCAUCUCAGCUGAUGAUUGUGAAUGAAAGGCACAAGCAGGGAACAUAUGUGUAGCUGCGUUCGACUCGACAUGUAGCGGUAUCUGCAGAUCCACUGAUCCCAUUGUGGAGGUUAACAUGCAAUGUGUUGACCUGGAAAUCAUUAUUUGGAAGCUACAUUUCGAGGCAUUUCCUCAACAUAUAAAUAGAC